AAUAGCUCAACCACAAGUGAAAAUGAAGUCGUUAGCAAUGGUAUAUUUGGCUGUUUUAGUCUUCGCCGUUGUUGAAAUAGAUGCCUAUGGAAUGGGGGCCAUGGAGGGGAGAAGAARUGYUAUUCAGAAUCAUCGAGUCUCGGCCAGGAAACUUUGCGAUUGGGCAAGAGAUAAGUGCAAAUCAUGGACAAGACUUCAACAAGAUCCUGAAGACAGAAAACGAUUUUACAGGGAAUAACGUUCUUCUUGAAUUAAGAUGUACGAGCAAUAAACUCAGAUAUAUUUUCAAACCAAGACAUUUAUCGUGUUAUUCUUUUGAAUACAAAGAGACAUUAUCAAAAUGAUUAUUAAUAAAAAGUUGAAAUAAAACCAAUUAGCAGUU